GUUGCUUCAAGAGCUGUAGAUGGAAACAAAAACCGAGACUACAGCAGUGGGUCGUGUACUCACACAGAUGAAGAAACAACACCUUGGUGGCGAGUGGAUUUACAACAACGUAUUGCAGUCAGUCACGUGAAAAUCGUAAAUAGAGGCAAAUUUGGCAAGCGACUUUGUGGCUUCGAGAUAAGAAUUGGAGAUAGUUUGAAAAAUAAUGGAACUACGAACUUGAGAUGUGGAACUCGACAAGAUAUCCCUUCUAAUGAGGUAAUUGAACAAACAGUUAGGCUUAGGAUUUCCAUACGCUCGCCCGGCAAUUUUGUUAAAAAUCUCAGUAAAACGUUUGAAGUUAGAUUGCUACAUGGUAUCGUAUUAAUUCGGUUUCUUAUAUAUUUGUUUUCAAAAGCGUAUAUAUAAGUUGCUGUAUUUUAUAAUACUCGCGAUAAUAGAUAACUUUUCUUUACAUAGGAGGGUACAGUCUCGUGUAAACCGACGGUGGUUGGUCGUUAUGUCACGAUUGUUAUUCCAGGAGAAAAACAAGCACUAACGUUGUGCGAAGUCGAAGUCUAUGGUACUAGUCUCUUAGGUAUGUAUAGAAAUCGCACUAGCCAGUCAGUCUGCAGUAUAAAGGAA